AUACUCCUGCCCCUGCAGAAGUCGCUCACCAUUUUAUUUUGCCUUCUCCCUCAUGCUAUCCUUGAGUUGCGUUCUUGUCACGUGUCCUUUCCACUUGUUACCUCAAGCAGCCCAUAUUGCCACGGCUAUUGUUUGGUUAUCGGGUCUGCCUCGCGAGUCAUAGUGCAUGCUAGUGCUAUUUAUAUCGUGUUACCGUUAUUGUUAUCUUAUCGGGUUAUCAGUUGGGAAUCAUGACACAUGGGUUAUGGAUAUAUCUGUUGAGGCUAUCAUGGUUACUUGUUAAUAAUUGUCAGCGGAGACAUCGGUGGGUCAGUUGCUCGUUUUAUGACGGCUCACUUGUGUUUCUUUAAAGCUUAAGACCCGAGUUCUUGUUAUCUGUUUCGAGACUGAGCGCUCUAACCACACGUGGGUAUGCUUCUGGGUCUCCCCUCGACCACUGCCGGAAUCUACAGCUUUGUCCAGUGGCCACAACUAGUUUGCAAUGUUUUACCAUUUGUCGUUCGCGUGCAUGCCAGCUUGUUACUUAUUUACUUUGGGAAGCCCCUGGGUGCCUUGUAUCCCUUGUUUCUGGUAUGCACGUAUAGGUGCGGCACGAGCGUUUAUCGCGUGCUGAAGCGGGUCAUUCGCCCCAGUGUGUGUUUUGACCCUCGGAAGUCGUGGUCGCAAACAGCUAGGUCCGUCUCGGAGAUACGGCCGGACUUCGAUUCGGGUUCAACUUGGUUAGGUGGCUUCCUGGACAUUGUUGUCGUGAAGGAGAGUGCGAGUCGUGAUAUCCACCUGUCGCAAGUGGGUUGAUCGUGCGUGUGGGCACAUUUGGGCACCCCUGCAGGGUUAAAUCUUAUCGAUAAGCCGCGUCCGCGGUUAUGGACGACUUGGAGCUGUAUGACUCGACCAUAGACAACUUACACCUGUUGUUUUCCAUACUAAUAACUUGCGUAGUAAGUUAGCACAACUUAAAUAAUAACUGGUUAAAACUUGUCAACCGUGUGAGUGCCCUUGUAAGUACUUCCUUGCGAGAGGGGAACACGUCGGCUGAGUUAUGUUUGCAGAGUAUAGAACUGUUAGUUUAUGCGCUCUCUCAUCUUCUCUGAUUAGACGACUGUUGUAGAGUGUUUCUAUAGGUUUUUAGUGCUUGCGCGCUGCCGCUUAACCCCACCAUAUUGCCUAUGACGUUCCUCUUGCGUCCUCUAAGUCCCCUGCGUGCCUCAAGUACAAAGGACGACUGGUUGACGAAUGCUUAUGCGUCUUGAAGUCUUGUUAAGUACGAACCCGUACUUAUUGCUGCUUCUACGGGACAUAACCGGGCAGGUAUGAAGAUAUGUUCGAUGAAGACGACGCUAGCAAGGUUACCCUUCCGGCUUGGCCUGGGCAGGGUUAUGGACGCCACUGGUUAUCUUCAGGACUCUUAGUCCAAUUUGUAUCUUGUCCGUACUCGGACGUAUUUGAUCUUCUGUAUGAUUCGGAUCUUUGUAUUGUAUAUUUGUAUCUUGACUCGUUGGAGUCGUUGUUGUAAUAUAUUUGUUUCUUGUGGGCUCUAUUGUAAUCCUGUUGUAAUGUUACUGCUCGUGAAUGAUUCCACCCGCAUCACGUGCAUGCUUCGGCGUGUACGAGGCGCUUGGUGGUGCGUCUCCUAAAAUCGAUAUCGUGUGGAUUUCGGCGGAUUCGCUGGGAUCCUCAUGGUACCGGUUUUGGGGCGUCACAAGUUGGUAUCAGAGCAUCAGGUUGACGAUAUCCCACUAGUCCAGCCUUUAGGAUAACCUUGCCAACGGUCGUUGAGUUUAGAGUGUAAAACCUAUUUUUCUAAAAUUCGUUGGAUAGAUCUGAUUAGAUCUGUUUUUCUCCUCAUCUCUAUUCUUUCUCCUCUUACCUAUGCGAGUUUUGAGUCUGCUCUCUUGUCUGAGUUUUCCGAGUCUUAGGUCCGACGUGGGUUGGACGAUCUUUGCCCCUCACCUAUUAGGUUCGAUCUUCGGAGGAUCCAGACGGAAGCGCAUCAUCAACAGCGGAACAACGACUCCUUGUUAGUGGUGUUGACCGAACAACGUGGAGCAAGAACCCUUGUUAGUGGUGUCGAGGAGAUCGACACGCCGCUAGAAGAUUCGAUAGUUUCCCCUCUCUUCCCCCGUACCUGGACGUGGGAUCUCGGGGCGCGAUCCCUUGUUAGUGGUGUCGAUUGUAGCGGCCCAGGAAAAAUACCGCUAUUAGAUUUUUUUUGUGCCUUUUCUUUUGUGCAUAAUCAUGACAUCAUGCAUAUUUUUGAACUCCAAAAUUAUUUUAUUAAACCCUAUUUUAUUUCUAAAAUUAAACCCUCUCUUUGGAUAUCAAAAUAAAACCUUUUAAUUGUUUACAAAAUAAACUCUUAUGUGGUAUAUAAACCUCACCUCUCUCUUUAGUUAUAUAAAAACAAAUUAUUUUCAAACUAAACAAAUUGAGUUUUGUUUCCAAAAACCUGCAGGAUUUUCCAAGUUAUUUCACAAGUUCUUUCCCUCUCUUCUAUUUUAUUUUCCUGCAAACAUCUGUGAGAGAAAGAAAGAAGCAGUAGUAGAAAAAGAGAAGAGAAGCAGCAACUAGCAGCCCAUCUACAUGACCGAUCAUUUCUGCUGAAGGAAAAGCACAUCCCAUCUUCCUCACAUGAUCACGCUGGUUGACCUUGCCAACCACCCAGGUCACCUGCUCGUUUUCCCUCUCUACAUCCCCAUCGAGCCGCAGGAAAACCCUAGCCUUCUCCCUCUCGUGCCGCCGCCCUCUGCUACAACUCAUCUGCGCCUCCUCCUGCUCGAGCUGCGGCAGCCCGGCUGCCGUUCGUCCCCCGCUCGGCUUCCUCCGCCCUGGCCGACGCCUCCCCGAGCUGCGCGCGCCUCUGUCCCGACCUCAUCCGCGCGGAGCGCCUCGCCGCCGGCUCCUUCUUGCACGUCGCCCUCUCCCAGCUCGUCCUCAACCGCUGCGUCCCCGCGCCGCCAAGUCCGUCGCCGGAGCUCCUCGACUUCGCGUCUGCACCACCUCAAGCCCCGCCGUCGGCCUCGCCGUCCGCCGCCACAAGUUCUGCACGACGCCGAGCCAGCACCCACGUCCUCCUGUGUAGCGCCUUGAUCACCACCAGAUCGCUCUUAGGCUGCCUGCCUCGCUCCUCCAGCUGAAUGUCUUUCUUAAGCGUGUGCGCGUGCCCGCAAGCUGUUCGACAGCAGCUGCAGUCCAAGUCCACGCGCGCCUGGCCGCCUUGUACCUGUCGCGUUCCAUGCUCAGCAGCAGCAGCUACCAUUGACAUCAGACACGCUCCUAUUCAUCCAUCCACCUGCCUGCUUGCUUGCUUAGCUCCACACGCAUGCAACCAUCCAGCAGCCAUCCUGCUUAGCUUAGCUAGCUAAUACCAUUCUGUCACCAUGUCUGUGUAGUUUUUCCGAUCUGUCCGACCGUGUUGCCGCUUAAGAUCUUUUUCCCGGCGUCCACUACUUCGACUAUGGGGACGUCAAGAUGGUGGAGACAUGACUACUUCCGCGACCAGCGCCUCCCUGUGUGUUCACCAUAGCUUCAAGGCUCAAACUUUGUUCAGGUUCGUCAGUUGUGGUACACUGUCCAGAACUGCUUCAUUUUGGCAGCGGGUCUACUUCUGCUCAACAUCUACGUGGUAGCCAUCUGAUCCCACGCUUGGAGAAGUUCAGUCUACACGUGUGUCGUCAAUCUAAAUCAGCAUCGUCAAAGCAGCCGAGUGGCUUAAGGUCUUGAUCUCUUCCCUGAUAUUAUGGCCAGAGAUGUUUCAGUUUGCGUGGGAGCCUUUCCAAAAUCAGCACCAGCAAGCAGUCUAGCUGUUUUGUUUCCUCUCUCUCCAAACGAUACUAUACUCAAUUCCAGGGAUGCAAUUUAACAGUUGCCGCUUCAGUCAGCGAUUUGCUUCUUCACGGAUAGGCCGUCGAGUUGGUACGAGCUACGACAAGUUCUCCGGAUGUCCCUCGGCAAGCUUUAACAGGCAAG